rnacentral:rRNA from 1 species
ACACGGACCAAGGAGUGCAACAAUCGCGCGAGUCUUUGGGUUGUAAACCCGUCGGCGCAAUGAAAGUGAAGGUAGAUGUUGGUCUGCCGAGGCGAGAGUCUCCUUGCGGAGAUGCAUCGUCGACCGAUCCCAGGUCACGCUGUGAUGGGAUUUGAGUGAGAGCGUGCCUGUUGCGACCCGAAAGAUGGUGAACUAUGCCUGAAUAGGGUGAAGCCAGAGGAAACUCUGGUGGAAGCUCGUAGCGAUUCUGACGUGCAAAUCGAUCGUCAAAUUUGGGUAUAGGGGCGAAAGACUAAUCGAACCAUCUAGUAGCUGGUUCCCUCCGAAGUUUCCCUCAGGAUAGCUGGUGCCCGGUGCAGUUUUAUCAGGUAAAGCGAAUGAUUAGAGGUCUUGGGGUUGAAACAACCUCAACCUAUUCUCAAACUUUAAAUGGGUAAGAAGCUCGGCUUGCUUAAUUGAAGUCGAGCAUUGAAUGCCGGGGCUCCUAGUGGGCCAUUUUUGGUAAGCAGAACUGGCGAUGUGGGAUGAACCAAAUGCUGGGUUAAGGUGCCCGAAUCGACGCUCAUCAGAUACCAUGAAAGGUGUUGGUUGAUCUAGACAGCAGGACGGUGGCCAUGGAAGUCGGAAUCCGCUAAGGAGUGUGUAACAACU